GACGUAGGGUGCAAGCGUUGUCCGGAUUUAUUGGGCGUAAAGAGCUCGUAGGCGGCUCGUCGCGUCGACCGUGAAAACCUACCGCUUAACGGUGGGCUUGUGGUCGAUACGGGCGGGCUAGAGUUCGGUAGGGGAGACUGGAAUUCCUGGUGUAGCGGUGAAAUGCGCAGAUAUCAGGAGGAACACCGGUGGCGAAGGCGGGUCUCUGGGCCGAUACUGACGCUGAGGAGCGAAAGCGUGGGGAGCGAACAGG
rnacentral:rRNA from 1 species